UGGGGAAUAUUGGACAAUGGGGGAAACCCUGAUCCAGCCAUGCCGCGUGAGUGAUGAAGGCCUUAGGGUUGUAAAGCUCUUUUACCAGGGAUGAUAAUGACAGUACCUGGAGAAUAAGCUCCGGCUAACUCCGUGCCAGCAGCCGCGGUAAUACGGAGGGAGCUAGCGUUGUUCGGAAUUACUGGGCGUAAAGCGCGCGUAGGCGGUCUUUCAAGUCAGGGGUGAAAUCCCGAGGCUCAACCUCGGAACUGCCUUUGAUACUGCAAGUCUUGAGUCCGAGAGAGGUGAGUGGAAUUCCUAGUGUAGAGGUGAAAUUCGUAGAUAUUAGGAAGAACACCAGUGGCGAAGGCGGCUCACUGGCUCGGUACUGACGCUGAGGCGCGAAAGCGUGGGGAGCAAACAGGAUUAGAUACCCCCGUAGUCC
rnacentral:rRNA from 1 species